rnacentral:rRNA from 1 species
GUAUUCCGCUCCAUAGCGUAUAUUAAAGUUGUUGCAGUUAAAAAGCUCGUAGUUGAAUUUCGGGGUCAGCAGGCUGGUCGUGCCACAGGUACGUACUGGUCUCACUGAUUCCUCCUUCCUGAUGAGCCGUAAUGCCAUUAAUUUGGUGUUGCGGGGAAACUGGACUGUUACUUUGAAAAAAUUAGAGUGUUUAAAGCAGGCUAACGCUUGAAUACAUUAGCAUGGAAUAAUGAAAUAGGACGUUCGAUCCUAUUUUGUUGGUUUCUAGGAUUGACGUAAUGAUUAAUAGGGAUAGUUGGGGGCAUUAGUAUUCAAUUGUCAGAGGUGAAAUUCUUGGAUUUAUUGAAGACUAACUACUGCGAAAGCAUUUGCCAAGGAUGUUUUCAUUAAUCAAGAACGAAAGUUAGGGGAUCGAAGACGAUCAGAUACCGUCGUAGUCUUAACCAUAAACUAUGCCGACUAGGGAUCGGAUGAUGUUAAUUUUUUAAUGACUCAUUCGGCGCCUUACGGGAAACA